AUAUAUGUUGGUUUUUUU
rnacentral:miRNA from 1 species